rnacentral:sRNA from 1 species
GGUCCCUAGUGGUCUGUGUGAAGUGCAAACGUUAAACUAUCUUGUCAUCAUGAAGACACCUCCAAUCUUGCCAACUAUUGUCUGUCCACAAUGACUUGGCCAUUGUUCUUAAGGCUCCCACCUAAAGGUUCACAGACAAAAGUCUGCCAAGUAUUUUCUUCAUUGACGGUUGUCUUUCCUUAGCCUCAUCCUACUGGAAAAGAGUCUAAGAGUAGUUAGAUACUGUAGUUUCUUAUGGUUGGGGGUCACCACAACAUGAGCUCUUUAUAUUAAAGAGUCGCAGCAUUAACACUGGUACCUCAAGGUUGAGGUCUCUCCACCAAGGGCAACUCUGUUCCAGUCACCCAGGCUAAUACCCAGCCCAAACCGCUGCCACUGGUCAAGUUCAGUCCAGCACAGACCCUUGAGUCACCGGUGGUCAGUCAGAUGACCUUGGCUCCUGCGCGGGCCUGUGUUUCCGGAGCUUCACCGCAGCACUGCUGGCCCGGCGCUGUGAAUGCGGGCUCGUGAGCGCGCACUGCCCCACCAGCCCACAGCGCCCGCCCGUGGGCCGCGUUCGCUCAGGGUGCGCUCGGGCCAGUCCCGCCUCUCCUAGUUUUCGCUUUCGCUUUUUAUAGCUUCUCUGAAGAGAAACAAAGCGGCAGCUACGACGGCUACGACGGCCACGACCGGUAAUGGUGUUGGAGGGAAGGACAGGGGAACUCCGCAGCCUGGACCCCAGGCCCACAGGAGAGGUGGCAGCAUGCCCCGGCCCUCCUGCUGAUGUCAGGAGGCUGGACAGCCAAGAAGGAAGAAAAUGGACUCCCUCCUUCUGAAGACUCGCCAGCUGCCAUGCAAUGGUGGACAGCACCUCAAGCUCACCCCACAAUGCACCUCUGUGGAGACACCAUCAGUGCCACACUCCUUGUUCUGCCACAGCUGUGACCAACAAUAAGAGACAGAGACAACUACAGAAAGUGAGGAAGGACAAUCUGUGACAACUUACGUCAUCGGUGGUGUGAGAAUGGGGGCCGGAAGAAGCCAUAGUUCUAUGUUGGGGUUUGGUCAGGUCACUUUUGCCAUUCAGCGAGCAUGGACCGUGUGCCAAAAACUGCUAGACGCAAAACAGCUGUGAAGGUCUAGACUUGUCCCUACCUGCCAGAGCACCCAGACACUUCAAGCAGACUGGCCGACGGCGCCAUGAUCCCUGAUUUUACCUACUGUGGUGAACACAUCAACUGCCAGACAUCAUUGGUGCCCUCUGGGGGUUCACCUCUGAAUGCACCCCACAUGUCUUGGGGUGCUAGAUGCAACCGUGGAGGGAGAAUAAAAGCAGCUUUCUAGGGAUGGAAUCCUGAGUCUGCCACGAACCCACUGGGUGACCAUGGGUGAGUUCCUUAACACUUCUGAGUGUCAGUUCUCAGUGAAAUCAAGUUAACAGUCUACACCUCAGAGGCAUAUGAAAAUGGGACAGAAUCACCUCACUGAGGAAUCUGAAGGGAGUAGGCUGCUGUUGACGGUUGUGUCUGUGAAGUGUCUGGUGACUGAGUUGGGAGGAGGGCACCUUUGUGGACAGACCUGAGGCGAACAGUCAGAGACAGCUAUUGUUAUACACAUUUUGGGGGGAAGCAGAGGUCAGUGCAGGCCAGCAGGCUGCACCAGCUUUGGCGAUGCCAGGCUUUGUUCUUCAAGGAAGGGUAGGGCUGGGAGCAGGGCAGGCUGCAGUGCAAGCCAAGGCCAAGAGGCAGAGACUCCCAGACUGUGUCUGGGAGAUGCAAGCCAAGGAACAGACGUCAACAUCAAACGCAUCAAGGCCCGAGGGAGGAGCUUUGCCCUUUUCUCUGGUCUCGGAUGAGUCCCUGGUGGAAGCUGAGCUGGGGGCGCCUUGGGACGGACCAAAGCAAAUGCUGCAAAAAGCUUCGAAGGAUCCAACGUCUUAUCGAGGCCUGGACCAAAGCCAAGGCCAGAGCUAGGGCCCAUACCAGGGCAGAACCCAGUUCACAGAACUCAAGUCCAGUUAGGACCUCCCAGAAGGAAAUUCCUGCCCUGACUGUGACCCCAUGUUGGGAACAGGGUCAAUAGGCAUUUGUUUUGAUCGCUCCAGAAAAAGUUAAUCCAACAAAUACAGAGAACCCGUCACCCAGAGGUGAUGUGAUGGCCACUACUGUCAUGCUGCAUUUCCAUAGCUGAUGCCAUCCCUGGGCCAUCUGGUAUCCCUUAAGACUACAGCUGACUGAGCAGUUCCAAGUCCCUCCUUUACCCUGUGAAAUGUCAUGUGUUUUCUCAGGAAGUGUUGAUUUUAAUGCAGAACUCUAGAAAACAGUAUUUUCUUUUUUAUUUAAGAAUUUUAUAUGCAAGUUGACUGUACCUUCAUCCUUUUAACCCUCCGUGCCUCUCUCCAAUUCCUUUGCAGCCCCCUCUCCCUUCCAGAAUACACGAGCUACAUACAGUGAAUGUAUGACCCCUUAUGACCACUUGUUCCUAAAGACUCCCCUCCCCUCCACUGACUGUAUGUGAGUGAUGCCUGGUGUGGCCUUUGCAGGCAGGCCUUGUGCAGGCACCCAUGUUGUGGAGAGUUCAUGCAUGCACAGAAAACGUUCCUUAAAAGGAGGAAGGGGCUAAAAAAGAACCAGGCUUAGAAGCACACACUAGCAAUCCCAUCAUUCAGAAGGCGGAGGCAGGAGGACUACUGUGAAUUCAAAGUCAGUUCUGAGGAAUAUAGUGAGACCCUAUUAGGAGGUUGGUAAAUAAACAAGUAUAGUGCAGAGCUCUAGCCAGCAGGACAUCCUGUGGGGACAAGGGUGGCUCUCGCAUCCGCAUCCUGUGUGAGCUGCAGAGGUGGGGUGCCUCGGCCAGGUCCCACUCUCAUGGACUGGCGACAGCUUCCUGCCUAGGGUAAGAAGAGCUUUCGAUGACUUUGCACUUGCCCUUCCUUCCCCUCAGGAUGCACUGAUCACCCCCCACACACACACACACCAGAAGGCAGGUGGACUAUCAGCAGUCGGAUCUGCCCGGAUCCUUGUUUCUCUCACAGACCCCACAAGUUCUGUGAGCCUCUGAGACAGGCACUGUUCUCCACAUAGUUCAGUUGGCUUUCUGCUGUGAUAAAACACUGACCACAACCUAGGGAGGAAAGGUUCUCUUUGGCUUGCAGGUUACAGCCAUCAGUCAGGGGAGGUCAGACCAGGACGUGAAGCAGAGGCAGGAACACUGCUUAUUGGCUACCAUUCUGAGCCUGGCUCUCCUUGUUGGCCCUGACCCCAGGCCAGUCUGACGAUGGCACUAAUCACAAUGUGCGUUCUCUCUUCCUAGGUGUGUCAGGUUGACAGCCAGGAUCAACCAUCGCUUCUGCCUCACGAAUGAAGAUUCUGAGGCUGCCAGCAGGGCCAGUAGGCUGGGUGAGGCCGCACAGCUAGUUAGAAGACUUCAUGCAGAUCCGGCAGGGUCUGCAUUCCCAACCACAGCCUAACACUGGUCUGAUACGGUCAACAUGCCAGAACCUGUUGCCUCGUUCAUGGUGAGAUUUUGUUGUUGUUUUAAUUUUUUUUUUUUGAGACAUGGUCUCUCUAUUGUAGCCCUGGCAGGCUGGCAUAUUGGCAGGCCUAGAACUCAAUAUGUACACCAGGCUGGCCUUGAACUCAGAAAGAUCUGCUUGCCUCUGCCUCCCAGGUGGAUUUGGUCACCUGGCUCAGACAGAAACAUGGCUGACAAGUAUUCUUUGAACCCUGGAGCUAAGCUCUGGCAGGCCAGAGUCCUCUGGAGCAAACGGGUAUGGCCAAGCUGCUCCCUGCUCUAAGGUCAAGUUACAAGCCUUGUCUGUGUCUCAACUCCCUGGGGCCCUAACCCUUGAAACAUCAGGCAGCUUCCCGGGCACAGGUAGAGCAUUGCUUCUCUUGAAGGUCAAGGCUCACCCUACUGGGGCCCCAGGAAAGCACAGCCAACAGUCUAGACCCCAGACUCCAAGGUGUCGGGAGGGUGCAGGCACAGCUCAGAGUCCCAAAUACCUUCUUGGCAUAGGGUGCCCAGCUAUUCUCAGUUUCCUUCUUGCAGGAACCUUGAUAUUGUGGAACCAGCCUGGGUUCUGAGCCUGGACAGAUGUAGCUUAGAAGCCAGCCUCCAUAAUGAUUAGCUGAGUCAUCUUGGGCAAGCCCCUUACUUAGCCUUGUUGAACGUUGAUUUCUGGUCUGUGAACAAGAGGUUGGUGUUGGGAGGAGGUAUGUGCAUGUGUGCCCAUGUAUGUGGAGCUUGGCCUCUGUUGUCAUGUCCACCUAGGUGUAGUCCAUCUGAGUCCUUGCUGCUGAUCCUGUUCUCCAGGGAGGUGGUUGGCAGGUGGAUGUCUGCCUCUGUCAUUUCCACUCGGUAUCCAUGAUUUUACCCCAUGAUUCCAGCAUCUCCC